UACGUAGGGGGCAAGCGUUGUCCGGAAUUAUUGGGCGUAAAGCGUGCGCAGGCGGUUAUGUAAGACAGGUGUGAAAUCCCCGGGCUUAACCUGGGAACUGCAUUUGUGACUGCAUAGCUAGAGUACGGUAGAGGGGGAUGGAAUUCCGCGUGUAGCAGUGAAAUGCGUAGAUAUGCGGAGGAACACCGAUGGCGAAGGCAAUCCCCUGGACCUGUACUGACGCUCAUGCACGAAAGCGUGGGGAGCAAACAGG
rnacentral:rRNA from 1 species